rnacentral:rRNA from 1 species
CCUACGGGUGGCUGCAGUCGAGAAUUUUUGGCAAUGGGGGAAACCCUGACCAAGCGAUGCCGCGUGCGGGAUGAAGGCCUUCGGGUUGUAAACCGCUGCAUGAAAAUAUGUCUAUCUGCAGAGGAAGUGUAGGCUAAGCUCGUGCCAGCAGCCGCGGUAAGACGAGCUACACGAACGUUAUUCGGAAUUACUGGGCUUAAAGGGUGCGUAGGCGGCGCGAAAAGUUGGGUGUGAAAUACCUCGGCUUAACCGAGGAACUGCGCCCAAAACUAUCGUGCUCGAGGAAGAUAGAGGUGAGCGGAACUUACGGUGGAGCGGUGAAAUGCGUUGAUAUCGUAAGGAACACCCGUGGCGAAAGCGGCUCACUGGGUUUUCUGACGCUGAUGCACGAAAGCUAGGGGAGCAAACGGGAUUAGAUACCCUUGUAGUC